UUGCUUAAAUAUUUGAUGCUCCUGAGCUCCUUUGUACGUAUCUUUUUUAUGCAAUUACAUAGAAUCAUUGAUAACAAAAAAAUGGGUGCAGGAACUCUAUGCUCUAAUGUUAAUCAACAUGCCUACAACCAAAGGAGAGAGUAAAACCCAAAGUCAAGACAAGCAGCUUGAUGCUGAGGGAGAAGAUGGCAACGAGGAUGAAGACGACGAAGAAGAUGAUGAUGGAGAUGGUGCAUUUGGAGAAGGAGAAGAGGAAUUGUCAUCUGAAGAUGGAGGUGGAUAUGGCAACAAUUCCAACAAUAAGAGCAACUCAAAGAAGACUCCUGAAGGUGGUGCUGGUGGGGCAGAUGAAAAUGGAGAAGAGGAAGACGAUGAAGAUGGUGAAGGUGAUGACCAUGAUGAAGAUGACGAUGAGGACGAGGACGACGAAGAAGAGGAUGAGGUCGGAGAAGAGGACGAAGAAGAUGGUGUUGAAGAAGAGAAUGAAGAGGAAGAAGAAGACGAAGAUGAGGAAGCCUUGCAGCCACCAAAGAAAAGGAAGAAGUGAAUUUAGCUUAGUCAAGCCUCCUUUUGUAUUGUUGUGUACGAAUUUGGCUUCUAACUUCCCAUGAUGUUUUUUUUAAGUAUUAAACUUCUAUGUUCUUGUUUUCUUUAUAAGGAGGCCUAUGUAGGACAUGUUUUAAUUGAUAUCUGUGUUUACCAUUGCGUAAUUAGAAUUCUACAUUAUGUUGAGCAGUCAGUCUUAAAUUUACAAGACAGAAAAAAUAAUGAUCCUAGUUAAUUUUAACGUGACUUUUCUCACUUCACCAACUUCUGUAAUUUGUUUAUGUUCUACUACAGUUCC
rnacentral:lncRNA from 1 species